ensembl:snRNA U6 U6 spliceosomal RNA
GAUCUCACUUUGGGAGCACAGAUACUAAAACUGCAACAGUACAGAGAAGAUUAGCAUGGCCCCUGUGCAAGAAUGACACAGAUUUGUGGAGCGUUGCUUUUUUUUUUU